rnacentral:tRNA from 1 species
GUCCCCAUAGUGUAGUUUGGUAGCACGACAGCCUCUCAAGCUGUUAGCACGGGUUCAAAUCCCGUUGGGGGUAC